AGAAUCAAUAGACUGUUCUGGUCACGUGAAGCAUUCGCGCGAAGAGCAAGUCGGCGAAUGACUGUACUGGAUACUGGAUCUGGAUGGUGAGGGGUGAAGAAACCAAAGGAGACAUGGACCUACAGAGUGGGCCAAGGAGGGAAAGGAGAGGGAGAGAAAGAACGAAGGACGAAUGAAGGAAAAAGAGAGACUAACGGAAAAAGGUUUAAGGCAAUAGAUAGUUUGGCAUUUUGUAAUCGAGAUAGAACUUUUUCAAGGGGAAUACGUGACCUUCAACUUUAAAUCUUCCCUAUAGGAGGGAACCGCAGCCCUUCUUUUUUACGGCAUUCUCGAAACCCCAUUGAGGCGACGAGUUCCAUGAAUGGAACUGCGACAUCCCCUAUCAUUUCGCUUAUUAGCAUCUUUCUCCUACGUAGUAUUAUUUCCAUUUCGACAAGAAAUAAAUGGUAAGUUAAUUUCAGCACAGAGUCAACCUUCUUUAAAGAUGCGAAGACGACCAGGGCAAAGUUACACGUUUCGUUUUGCAUGCACGAUCAAUGUGAGACAACUUGGAAUUCUUACGAUCGUCAAGUUGACUCGCGGAAUGUAAAAAUUUUAAUUAUGAGAGCAUUCCACAGUUGGUAAGAUGGUAAUAUGUUAUACAAACGGUCCGCAUAUCGCUAUGUUGUGUCAACGAGAAUAGAACAUAGGCGUGCGAUGACCUCUUGGCAGCAGUGCACUGGCAUGAUUGUUAAACGUACAGCAAAAUUCUUAUAGAUUUUUUUCUCUAUUCGAACGUUUUAUUCAACCGAAAACAUCCUUCAUACACACCUGGAAACUAAUCAAACAGGGCUUCGAGGACCCAUCCUUAACAAAUUGUGAAAUUAAGAAAGGACUAGUUACCUCUGCACGCUUUACGGAACUUAUGCUAUACGUAUCCAAACAUUUUUAACCGACUUUGCGAAAGGAGGAGGUUACUCAAUUCGACACGUAUAUAUAUUUUUUAAUAUACUAUUCGAACGGAAUUUGUGUAUCAAACUACUCGAAUAGAAGAAAUCAUGUUUCUUACAUUCGUAUCGGAACGUUUAAUCAAUUAAACGAAACGCGUACAGAGGAAGAAUAAAUGUGUAAGGUACGAGCAUGUAAACAUACGUGGCAUACAGAGGAAAAUACAUAAUUUAGAAUGUUCAGA